rnacentral:misc_RNA from 1 species
GAACGCACAUUGCGCCCGCCAGUACUCUGGCGGGCAUGCCUGUUCGAGCGUCAUUUCAACCCUCAAGCCCCCGGCUUGGUGUUGGGGCCCUGCGGCUGCCGCAGGCCCCGAAAUGGAGUGGCGGGCUCGCGGCGAACUCCGAGCGUAGUAGAAUCCUAUCUCGCUAGGGAGGCGCGGCGCGCUCCGGCCGUUAAAGGAACUUCUUUUAACCCAAGGUUGACCUCGGAUCAGGUAGGAAUACCCGCUGAACUUAAG